UACGUAGGGAGCAAGCGUUGUCCGGAAUCAUUGGGCGUAAAGCGCGCGUAGGUGGCCUCAUAAGUCCGCUGUGAAAGUCAAAGGCUCAACCUUUGAAAGCCGGUGGAUACUGUGGGGCUAGAGUACGGAAGAGGCGAGUGGAAUUCCUGGUGUAGCGGUGGAAUGCGCAGAUAUCAGGAAGAACACCCGUGGCUAAGGCGGCUCUCUAGUACGGUACUGACGCUGAGACGCGAAAGCGUGGGGAGCGAACAGG
rnacentral:rRNA from 1 species